rnacentral:tRNA from 1 species
UUUUGUAGCUCAGUGGUAGAGCAUGUGCUUACCAUGCUCAAAGCCCUGGGUUCAGUCCCCAUUGCCUAAAAA